rnacentral:rRNA from 1 species
UGGCGGCGUGCCUAAUACAUGCAAGUCGAACGCACAGCGAAAGGUGCUUGCACCUUUCAAGUGAGUGGCGAACGGGUGAGUAACACGUGGACAACCUGCCUCAAGGCUGGGGAUAACAUUUGGAAACAGAUGCUAAUACCGAAUAAAACUUAGUGUCGCAUGACACAAAGUUAAAAGGCGCUUCGGCGUCACCUAGAGAUGGAUCCGCGGUGCAUUAGUUAGUUGGUGGGGUAAAGGCCUACCAAGACAAUGAUGCAUAGCCGAGUUGAGAGACUGAUCGGCCACAUUGGGACUGAGACACGGCCCAAACUCCUACGGGAGGCUGCAGUAGGGAAUCUUCCACAAUGGGCGAAAGCCUGAUGGAGCAACGCCGCGUGUGUGAUGAAGGCUUUCGGGUCGUAAAGCACUGUUGUAUGGGAAGAACAGCUAGAAUAGGAAAUGAUUUUAGUUUGACGGUACCAUACCRGAAAGGGACGGCUAAAUACGUGCCAGCAGCCC